CUUGCACGACUGUUUUUUUGUCAAUGUUUAAAUCCUUGUCACAUCAACCAAAAUAAAGUUAUAAAAAAAAAUACCAUAGCGAAAUAUGUUACAUUAUAGAACGCUGUUAAUUUUACCUCUCUGAAAAUCAAUUACCCUUCCCCCAAGGACCACUGCGAAGGCUCUGUUGGCGAUAUCAGCAAGUCUCGCUAUUAGCAGACUGCCUUGGUCUGUUAAGAUAAAAGUUAGAAAGCCAUGCUUAGUGGGGAAGCCGUUCGAACAGUCAGUAGUGGCGAUGCCAACUAUAUGAGCCAUUUUUGCUUCCAGAUGUUAUAGACUGGGGAACCAUGUUAAAUUGACUCUCACUUCGCCGAAGAGCUUAUCGAACGCGCGAGCAGCCAAAGUAACAAGAGCAAGGAAAAAAUACUCAGAGCGGCAAAAAGCUGACAGAUUGUGGUAAAUGCAAAUGUGACGACAAUUUAGGUUGCUACAAACAUUUUAACGAUGAGUAGAGACAAAGUAUUAGAGUAUGACAGUCCAAGCAGGCAAUAUCCCACUACAAAGCGGAAGUUGUCAACAAGCAGCAGAUGCAGGAGUAAUAGCUACGGAACAACGAUAAGCAAAUCACGGAAUAUGAUUCCAAGAGAGUUUUACUUUUUAAUUUAAGCGUUUCUUACUCUUUCAUUGAAACAAGGAAAUUGAAGAGAAAGUAAAAUUUUUUCAAAAACGAUAUACGAAGUAGAGAAAAUUUAGAGUUGUUUAACCCAUAACCCAAUGAGGUUGUUUGCGUUUCUCGAGAAUUGUUGUCGCUUGGUAUGGAGAACGAGCGAAUAUUUUAGCGACGCGUAAAAUGUUAACCCGUCGCAGUAAUGAUCCGGUUUUAUCGGAUGCAAGGUAUCCAUACGGACCGAUUUGGUUUUCCAAUAAAGAUUGCCACAUGCAAGUUUCAGUUUGCAAAGUUGUCCUGAUCAUUAUUGGUAAGCAAACAAUUUGACUAGAAUUUUUUUUUCUUUUUUUAAAUUUGUUUUGGUUUUAUGUCAUCAAUAAUUAUGGGAAUUUAUUUCAAAAAAAAAUGAUGCUUUAUUAUUAUUAUUGUUGUUGUUGUUGUUAAUAUUAUCAUUACUAUCUCGUUGAAGUUUUCAAUGUCUUGCGGCAAGCCGUUGGGCCUUUUUUUUUAUUUUUUCUUUUUUAUUUAUUUAUUUGGAAUGAUCUUUUUAAUGGCAUAGCUAGAACAAUAUUUCCUCCCUACAAUGUGCAAGUAGUUUAAGCUUAUUAUGAUUUUUAAUACACGGA